rnacentral:rRNA from 1 species
UUUGUACACACCGCCCGUCGCUACUACCGAUUGAAUGGCUCAGUGAGGCCUUCGGACUGGCUUAGGGAGGUCGGCAACGACCACCCAGAGCCGGAAAGUUGGUCAAACUCGGUCAUUUAGAGGAAGUAAAAGUCGUAACAAGGUCUCCGUAGGUGAACCUGCGGAGGGAUCAUUA